rnacentral:rRNA from 1 species
UACGUAGGGUGCGAGCGUUAUUCGGAAUUACUGGGCGUAAAGCGUGCGCAGGCGGUUUUGUAAGCCAGAUGUGAAAUCCCCGGGCUCAACCUGGGAAUGGCAUUUGGGACUGCAAGGCUGGAGUGCGGCAGAGGAGACUGGAAUUCCUGGUGUAGCAGUGAAAUGCGUAGAUAUCAGGAGGAAUACCGAUGGCGAAGGCAGGUCUCUGGGCUGACACUGACGCUCAUGCACGAAAGCGUGGGGAGCAAACAGG